UACAGAGGUCUCAAGCGUUGUUCGGAUUCAUUGGGCGUAAAGGGUGCGUAGGUGGCGCCGUAAGUCGGGUGUGAAAUUUCGGAGCUUAACUCCGAAACUGCAUUCGAUACUGCGGUGCUUGAGGACUGGAGAGGAGACUGGAAUUCAUGGUGUAGCAGUGAAAUGCGUAGAGAUCAUGAGGAAGACCAGUGGCGAAGGCGGGUCUCUGGGCCGAUACUGACACUGAGGAGCGAAAGCGUGGGGAGCGAACAGG
rnacentral:rRNA from 1 species